rnacentral:rRNA from 1 species
UACGUAGGGGGCUAGCGUUGUCCGGAAUCAUUGGGCGUAAAGAGCGUGUAGGCGGCCCGGUAAGUCCGCUGUGAAAGUCGGGGGCUCAACCCUCGAAUGCCGGUGGAUACUGUCGGGCUAGAGUGGCGGAAGAGGCGAGUGGAAUUCCUGGUGUAGCGGUGGAAUGCGUAGAGAUCCGGAAGAACACCGGUGGCGAAGGCGGCCUGCUGGGCAGUAGCUGACACUGAGGCGCGACAGCGUGGGGAGCAAACAGG